GACAGAGGGUGCAAACGUUGCUCGGAAUUACUGGGCGUAAAGCGCGUGUAGGCGGAUCGGAAAGUCGGGCGUGAAAUCCCCAGGCUCAACCUGGGAACUGCACUCGAAACUCCCGGUCUUGAGUGGUGGAGAGGGAAGUGGAAUUCCUGGUGUAGAGGUGAAAUUCGUAGAUAUCAGGAGGAACACCAGUGGCGAAGGCGGCUUCCUGGACAACAACUGACGCUGAGACGCGAAAGCGUGGGGAGCAAACAGG
rnacentral:rRNA from 1 species